GACGAACGCUGGCGGCGUGCUUAACACAUGCAAGUCGAACGGUAAGGCCCUUCGGGGUACACGAGUGGCGAACGGGUGAGUAACACGUGGGUGAUCUGCCCUGCACUUCGGGAUAAGCCUGGGAAACUGGGUCUAAUACCGGAUAGGACCACUGCCUGCAUGGGGGGUGGGGGAAAGGUUUUGCGGUGUGGGAUGGGCCCGCGGCCUAUCAGCUUGUUGGUGGGGUGAUGGCCUACCAAGGCGACGACGGGUAGCCGGCCUGAGAGGGUGACCGGCCACACUGGGACUGAGAUACGGCCCAGACUCCUACGGGAGGCAGCAGUGGGGAAUAUUGCACAAUGGGCGCAAGCCUGAUGCAGCGACGCCGCGUGAGGGAUGACGGCCUUCGGGUUGUAAACCUCUUUCAGCACCGACGAAGCGCAAGUGACGGUAGGUGCAGAAGAAGGACCGGCCAACUACGUGCCAGCCGCCGCCGUAA
rnacentral:rRNA from 1 species